CUCCGUAGGGAUCUGCUUCUCUGCUGGUGGAAAGAGAAGCUUCCCUAGGCAUCUCUCUCACACUCGACGCUACCGGGGCGGUUCUGGGACGGCUCCUCAGGCCGCUGCCCGCCCUCUUUUCUCCGAACGUCAGUCAUUUCCUCGAAAUCAAUCCAGGCACGCAGCUGCCCAUUAAAGUUAAUUAAGCACGCGCCCGAGACACCGACAAGAGCGUGCGCCCCGGGCAGAGCCCAGAAUGCCUCCCGGGAAGCCCCUUCCGGAAGCUCCGGCCCAGGGGGGUCACAGUCCGAUUCCGAGGGACCCAGCUGCCCACCGCUGACCUCUCCCGCCCGCCCCCACCCCGAAAUCUCCGCAAUCCUGGGAGACAGCUGCAGCCCCAGCGAGCGAGCCGAGCCCCGCGCAGCCCAGAGCAGGUGCACCUGCAGAGCCUGGCAUUGGCUUUGCGUCGAUUAAACACCUCCUCUUCGCACAAACCCCGGCACCCCUCGUCCACUGUCUGGACCCAAGGACCCCCCUCUCGGGUCGAGGAGGGGCGGACGGCAGCUCGGAACCCACAAGCCUGAGAGUGUCCGCUCGCCCGCAGAAGGCAGCCGCCACCUGCUCUCCAAGGUCCCGCUCCAGCCCCUCCGUCGCGGGUCCCUUACCUUGUGGCCUUUCCCCGGGGGACACCUGACGUUAUUGGAGGCUCCUGCUGUCUGAUUCAUGUCCGGAGGAAGUUGGAGACCGAUUCUCUACCUUCGAAACUUCCUUGGCGCGUGGAGGGUGACAAAGGUGCGCGUCUCCCGGAGGCGAGGUGGGUCCUCCCGCUCCAGCCAAGCCCCGGCGACGUCUCCCCGCGACAGGUUUCCGCGGGGCCCCUGGUCCAGGGAUGCUUAGCCCUGCAGCCCGAGCCGGAGAAAGAGAAGCAGCUGCUGGGACCCCGGAGGGAGCCGGGCCGGCGCCGGCGGCUCCGAGGGCGCUCUGCCCAGGGCUGCCUUCCCGGGAAACAGUCCAGGACUCUCAAGACCAGAAGCGCGAGCAAAUCCGAAAAGAGCUCCGAGGAGGGGCGAGGAGGCAGAAGGCCCAAAUACAGUAAAUCAAGAAAAUGCUGAGAGUAUCUUGUGUCUGGUAAGUAAUGAAGUUCAUCUUUUUUGCUCUUGAGAAUUUAUUGAUGCUCGUGAGUUGAGUAGGCAAUCUCUCAAUGUAACGCUACGGCUGUUGGAAAGAAAAUGAUAUCUUAACCAUGUUGGCUGUCGAUAGAACUGCUGACCUGUUAAAUAUAAAAAGUACAAAGGGAUAAAAAAAAAUCGUCUUAUUCUAAAACACUGAACACACAGAAUGUUCUCGCAAACUUCCAAGAGAAGAAACCACCUGCAAAAUAUGGACCAAUUUACUGUCCAUGCGUUUCUCCGUAAAAAUCGUUUGCUAUUCACCAAAGGUUCAGUUUGAUCCUUGGUUGAAAUGAGCAAGGGACUAUUGAUCAACCUUGUAGGUAUGUUUUAGGCUCUUGUAGAAUCUUAUGUGAUUAAACCAUUCAUCGUAUUUAAUCUUCAGCAGGAAACUCUGUGUUUCAUUCACUCAAGGCUCUAGCAGAGCAAAAACACGAUUCAUGAAUGAUUGUCUGUACACGCCAGCACCUCAGGGAUUAACUGUUGGUUCGCUCAGGCUGUCCACUUGCACGGAAUGAGUAGAUCACUGUAGGGAGUCGGGUUGGUGCUGAUGACAGUGGGUGAGGAACGUGGCAACAUGUCCUUUAUCGCUGCGGAAGGGCAAACGGGCAAAGGCGCCGUAUCAUACUCUGCACAAAAACAACCUCUCUGGAUCAGCUCUGUGUAAAACAGAAGGACCCAAAUGUGUCCAGGUUGAGGAAUAAGACCUUAUCUAGUAAAAGCCAAAGCAAUCAUAGGUUCAUCUGUAAAAUACAGAGGUAAGAGAGGGACUGUUGAAAACGGCCGAAACAAACACCUGAGCAUUUCUCACGUCUAAAGCGGAAUCUCUGGCCCAGCAACACAGCCUCUGCCCUGCAAUAUGGGCCUCCAGCUCUGCAUCAUUAUUUUUUGUUUGUAUUAUGUUGGUUGAUUGCACAUGUUUGUUGGUUGAUUGCACCUGUUCAUAAGCGCAGUCUCAAAUCCAUUGUGUGGCCGAGAUAGGCACAUGUUUCUCUGUGCUAUAAUUUGUGUUUGGGGCCCUACAGACUAGCUGGAUUUAGGGAUUUGGUGCCAGCAAACAUGCCCGGUCCUCAUCAGUGAGCAAUGAGGACAUUGGGAUACCCCCAUUUUCUCUUUGAGUGGCACCAUUUCUCAGAAUAACUGAGCAGUCCCCAGGGAUACAAGAUAAAGGGGCACAGCUCAUGACAGAGUGAGGCAUUGUGUGAGGUGGAUUUUACCAGCCCAGUUGUCAUUCAUCAAGAAGAUAUAGCAUCACCUGAUGGUCUGGUAAGAAGCAUCUGGCUCUGGAGGUGAGCAGAGUGGAUGUGCCCGGGUGAGAGACAGGCCCCUGGGGGUCUCUCUCCAGGCCCAGGCUUCUGCCCAUCCUCCCUGUGAUGCCACCAUGAUUAAGGACACUCCUAGAGCCAAACUCAGCUGUGCAACCUAAGAGCUUAGUAACCUUGAACUUACUGCUUUCUCUCGAGCUGAUGUAGCAACACACUAGCUGUGGUACCAACACACACUAAAAGAGAACCUAGAUGGUAUAUGAUACAUGGUCACUGUUACUCAUAUAAAUCUUUAACAUUCUGGAAACAUCCCUGGACCUUCUGCACAUUCUUUAGGACAUUCAAAUAAAUACUGACCUGCUGUUGGGUUACGGAUGGUG
rnacentral:lncRNA from 1 species